GAUAAAAAGGAUUUUCUUGAUAGGGUAAAUCAUGUAAUAAUAUUACAUUCAUUA
rnacentral:tRNA from 1 species